ensembl:lncRNA
AUUUGUUUAAUCCACGAAUGACACUGAUGCUCCGAGGCUUUCAUGUGUUGUAGUCAGUCUCUCGGUGUGUGUUGGAUGUCUUGUCUGCCAGUGCAAGGUGGGUUUGUAAUAGAUGAAAAGGGAGAACAGCAUAGCAUGAAAAAUGACCGUUCUAUCUUUCUUCUUAAGAUCAAUGUAUAGAUGUCAAAUUUUGUAAUAAUAUCCACUUUGCUAUAUUCACGUAUAUUUGUCAAAAAGACUAAUAACUAAUAAAUCGAAACGCAAUGAAAACAUCUGGAUGCUGAUUAUUCCCUUAAUUUGCUUCCAGCAGUCAGGGACCAUGAACGAUUUCUAUGGAUAAAAGCUAAUCGGCCCUGUGGCUGAGAUUCACCUUCUCGUCCGGAUGGGGCUUUACUAAUUUAUGCUGAGACAUGCGUGAGCCUCCCCGGAGCUCAGUGGAAGUGGUCUUUUUCAAAACCGGGAAAAAAGGCCAAUCGAGUGAACAUUUUUCUUUUUUAUGUUCUCUGUCAGAGCUUGUGUAAAUACGAAGCGUAUUUGAGGCCAACGAGAUAUAUACGUGUGUUAACCACUGGAUGUUUGGUUAGGCCGCCAGACUUUAAAAAAAUCACGUUCAGCUUCAAUUUAGAAAAAGGUUUGAAGUCUCAAGAGAAAGUUCAGACAUCUCACAACUAUAGGAUUUCAUAAAAAAGCCAAGUUAAUACAGCAAGGCUACAAGAAAAAAAGUCGGGCAUCUUUCAAAAUAAGUGCUUUCCAAAUCCUGCUCUGCAAGAACAGGUGCAUAAAAGAACGACCAGAAGUGGUUCUCAGUACCGGACAGCCGAGUACAGGAAGCUUUGUGUGCGUGUUCAGAGGGAAAAAAAAGUCUUCCUCAAUGGGUCUUUUGUUGUUUGAGUUGGAGACAGCAAAAGCACGAGAGACAUUGAGUGACAAAUACCUGACCCCUCUGUGCCUCAAAGGUCUCACAGUCACACUGGAUACAAUGUCAACGAAUGCCUCCUCUGCCCUCCAUAGCAGCCCGCUCUCCGUACACAAG